UGUAGGUAGUCCUUGAUCUACUUUUUGCAGUGUAUACUUCAGUUUCUCCUGGUUUGCUCAUAUGUGCUUCACUAUGUGUAAAAUUCCUCAGGAUCUGGAUGAUUGCAUUGAGAUUGAAAUUCAGGGGGAGCAAGCUGACCCAACUCUGGAGGAUCUUUCUGAGGAUGAUCUUUUCCUCUUCUGUGUGGGCUUCACCUGUGAACAAGCCUAUAAUGAGGGUGUGGAUAGAGUGGAGUAUAAUAAAGAUAUUGCGUCCAUGG